rnacentral:piRNA from 1 species
UGCUUAGCUCAAGUAACAAUGAAAGGUAC